rnacentral:rRNA from 1 species
AUUCAUCGUCAGCGCAUUUUGUAUAUGUAUAAGUUAUGAUGCAGGUUACUCNUUGUAGUAUUGCUUGCACAUACUUGUACAUUUAUUUGCAAGGUGUUGUCGGCGUGCACUUCUCCCCUAGUAGGACGUCGCGACCCGUUGGGUGUCGGUUUACGACCCAAGUNGGUAGUCUUNUAAUGUUUANACAACAUUAAAGACCCUUGGUGUUUUCUGACCGACUGCCCGGCGGUACUCGUACGGUAUUUAGCCGCAUUUUAUNNNGCGUCCAUAUCCGUCGCAAGCAAGGCUAGUUUCUGACAGUACGGACCUAGUGCCGUCGUUGGAGCUAGCCAGCUGUUGGUUGUUACGGUAUUCUA